rnacentral:sRNA from 1 species
ACCUAAGCCCGAUUGUACGGAUGCCGUUUUAAUCGACAGUUUUUUUAAUACCCGAAAUUUAAAACGGCAGGAGGAAAAGCGGGACUGAAA